rnacentral:ncRNA from 22 species
CGCAGAGUAGAUAAGAUGCGUUAAGUGUUAAAGGAUGGGAAGUUGCCUUUAAACGAAAACGAAAGUUGCGGUAUCUUAUUGCGUCCGCUGUG